UACGAAGGGGGCUAGCGUUGCUCGGAAUCACUGGGCGUAAAGCGCACGUAGGCGGCUUUUUAAGUCAGGGGUGAAAUCCUGGAGCUCAACUCCAGAACUGCCUUUGAUACUGGAAGCUUGAGUCCGGGAGAGGUGAGUGGAACUCCGAGUGUAGAGGUGAAAUUCGUAGAUAUUCGGAAGAACACCAGUGGCGAAGGCGGCUCACUGGCCCGGUACUGACGCUGAGGUGCGAAAGCGUGGGGAGCAAACAGG
rnacentral:rRNA from 1 species